rnacentral:rRNA from 1 species
CUAAGUGAGCUACUUUUAAGCAGCUGUUAGAGCUAACCCAUCUCUGUUGUAAAAGAGUGGGACGACUUUCAAGUAGAGGUGAUAAACCUAUCGAACUUAGAGAUAGCUGGUUUUUUAAGAAAAGAAUUUUAGUUCAGCCCCAAGCCUUUUAUUAAACAAAAAACCCCCUUAGACUUGGGAGUCAUUCAAAUAAGGCACAGCUUAUUUGAAACAGGACACAACCUAGAACACCGGGUAAACAACCAAAUUUUAUGACAAGUGGGCUUAAAAGCAGCCACCUUUCAAAAAGCGUCAAAGCUUAGUAAUAAUAAUUUACCUAAUAACCUCAUUAACUUCUAACCCGCACACACUAUUAAAUUACCCCAUAUAACUAUGGGAGCUAUUAUGCUAGAACGAGUAACAAGAAAGUGACUUUCUCCAAAAUGCAAGCUUCAGCCGUAAUAGACAAACUACCGGCAAUCAACGCCUCUGAGCUAACUGUAGCAACACUAACAAGAAAACCCUACGAGCCACAGCGUCAACCUCACACUAGCGCAU